rnacentral:rRNA from 1 species
CAAGUCGAGCGAGGCGGCCCGCAAGGGUCAGUCGAGCGGCGAACGGGUGAGUAACGCGUGGAUAACCUGCCCAGAGGUGGGGGAUAGCUCGGGGAAACCCGGAUUAAUACCGCAUAUGACCGUGAGGUCAAAGGGGGCUCGCAAGGGCUCUCGCCAUUGGAGGGGUCCGCGUCCGAUUAGCUAGUUGGUAGGGUAAUGGCCUACCAAGGCGACGAUCGGUAGCCGGCCUGAGAGGGUGAUCGGCCACACUGGAACUGAGACACGGUCCAGACUCCUACGGGAGGCAGCAGUGGGGAAUUUUGCGCAAUGGGCUAACGCCUGACGCAGCAACGCCGCGUGGAGGAUGAAGGUCUUUGGAUUGUAAACUCCUGUCAGCAGGGAAAAAGCGAAUCGGCCUAACACGCCGGUGAGUUGAUUGUACCUGCAGAGGAAGCCCCGGCUAACUCUGUGCCAGCAGCCGCGGUAAUACAGAGGGGGCAAGCGUUAUUCGGAAUUAUUGGGCGUAAAGGGCGCGUAGGCGGCUUGGCAAGUGGAUGGUGAAAUCCCUCGGCUUAACCGAGGAACUGCCGUCCAAACUGCUUAGCUUGAGACCGGGAGAGGUGAGUGGAAUUCCCAGUGUAGCGGUGAAAUGCGUAGAUAUUGGGAGGAACACCAGUGGCGAAGGCGGCUCACUGGACCGGUACUGACGCUGAGGCGCGAAAGCGUGGGGAGCAAACGGGAUUAGAUACCCCGGUAGUCCACACUGUAAACGAUGAGUGCUUGGUGUAGCGGGUAUCGACCCCUGCUGUGCCGAAGUCAACACAUUAAGCACUCCGCCUGGGG